GACGAACGCUGGCGGCGUGCUUAACACAUGCAAGUCGUACGGUAAGGCCCUUUCGGGGGUACACGAGUGGCGAACGGGUGAGUAACACGUGAGUAACCUGCCCACAACUUUGGGAUAACGCUAGGAAACUGGUGCUAAUACUGGAUAUGUGCUCCUGCUGCAUGGUGGGGGUUGGAAAGCUCCGGCGGUUGUGGAUGGACUCGCGGCCUAUCAGCUUGUUGGUGGGGUAGUGGCCUACCAAGGCGGUGACGGGUAGCCGGCCUGAGAGGGUGACCGGCCACAUUGGGACUGAGAUACGGCCCAGACUCCUACGGGAGGCAGCAGUGGGGAAUAUUGCACAAUGGGCGCAAGCCUGAUGCAGCAACGCCGCGUGCGGGAUGACGGCCUUCGGGUUGUAAACCGCUUUCAGCAGGGACGAAGCUUUUUGUGACGGUACCUGCAGAAGAAGCACCGGCUAACAACGUG
rnacentral:rRNA from 1 species